ACGCUUCAAUAUUAUUUUUCAUCUGCCCCAUUUCCAUUAUUAUAAUCCUUUCGUAAGAAUAAAACAUUUUUGUUUCAGUUGUGUUUAACGGUGAUCGAAAAGAAUUGGAAAUCGAAGAGCCUAAAUAAGAAUGUGACUGAUGGCGUUAUUCGUCUAAAGCUGGAUUAAUGUAGGCUACGAUAGAUGGUUAAUCUACACCCAUUUACAAGUUAAUCUAACCACAUUGUCAAUAGAGAGAUUGACCGUUCUUUCAGUCCCGAGCUUCUUUUCGUGCACGUAUAUUUAAGGUGGGAUACGAAAAGGGCACGAGGCCAAAGAAAAGGACAUCAAGAAGAAUGGCUUGGAAUGGCUCAUCCUUUUCUUUCUCAUUCUCCGUGUUUUAAGUCGUUCCAGAUGGUUGAGGUCGAGAUUCGUUCGUGGCAACCACCUACAGGGUAUGGACCUCCUCCUGAGCCGAAACAAAUGUUCUUCGCGGCAUUUCUUACCGAAAAGCAAAUUCGAAUGUUUAAAUUCGUACGUAUUCUAUAACAAGGAAGAAACGUGGGUGAUGAUUGUUGAUAAGUAUAUAGAGAUGCUAUUGUAUUCGAUUAUAACGCAAAGCUCGAAUUGGAAAAAUCAAAAUCGUAAAAAAUGUCAAAAAUGAAUUAUGAACUCGAUAUGCGACAUGACACGAUUAUGAAUUUUAUGUAUACAAAUAUUUCUUUUGCAUCGUUAUGAUGAAAAGAUAUUUGAUAAAUAAAGAAUCGCAUUCUUCUAAAACGAAAAGUGGUGCAAGUUCGUCCCUUAAGUGGUAACAUUUAACUCAAGAGCGAGAACACUCGAAGGAUUUCUAAGUGGUAUGAACGAAAUCGAAUAUUUAGACUCGUCAUGACAUGUAUACUCGUAUGUUUCCUAUUUUAUUACCAGCUACAUUAAUUGUGACGGCUUUCAAGACGUUUCGAUUAUUUUUUCACUACGACUUUUCUGGUAAUCUUACUUACGGAAUCAUCUUGUUCCUUUUUAAACGAAACUCUUAACACAUUUUCUUCGAAACUUGUAUCUUUAAAUGAAUAUUUUUCAUUCUCGGUUAUAAUCCACAAUUGCAACUUUUUCAGAAAAUUAAAAAAAAUAUUGAUAACGAUUGCAUUAUAUUAUAGAUAAAAGACGAUGGAAAUCAUUUCAAUCAUAUAAAUAAAGAUUCAUCUCUUUUCUCUUAGUAAAUCAAGUU
rnacentral:lncRNA from 1 species